CCUACGGGGGACAGCAGUGAGGAAUAUUGGUCAAUGGGCGCGAGCCUGAACCAGCCAAGUCGCGUGAGGGAAGACGGUCCUAUGGAUUGUAAACCUCUUUUGUCGGGGAGCAAAAGACGCCACGCGUGGCGUUCCGAGAGUACCCGAAGAAAAAGCAUCGGCAAACUCCGUGCCAGCAGCCGCGGUAAUACGGGGGAUGCGAGCGUUGUCCGGAUUUAUUGGGGUUAAGGGGUGCGCAGGCGGACGAUCAAGUCAGCGGUAAAAUUGAGUGGCUCAACCUCUUCGAGCCGUUGAAACUGGUUUUCUUGAGUGAGCGAGAAGUAGGCGGAAUGCGUGGUGUAGCGGUGAAAUGCAUAGAUAUCACGAAGAACUCCGAUUGCGAAGGCAGCAUACCGGAGCUCAACUGACGCUCAUGCACGAAAGUGUGGGUAUCGAACAGGAUUAGAUACCCGGGUAGUC
rnacentral:rRNA from 1 species